AUGGGAGCUGACGUCCGCCACAAGAAGGACCUAAAGGUUCGGCGCAAAGAGCCCAAGAGCCAGGAUAUCUAACUGAGGCUGUUUGUUGGUCAAGCUGUACAGGUUACCGUCCAGACGAACUAACUCCACAUUCAACCAGGUUGUGCUGAAGAGGUUGUUUAUGAGUCGCACCAACCGGCCACCUCUGUCCGUUUCCCGGAUGAUCCGGAAGAUGAAGCUUCCUGGCUGGGAAAACAAAACGGCCGUGGUUGUGGGGACGCUUAACGGAUGACGCGAGGGUUCAGGAGGUGCCCAAACUUAAGGUGUGUGCGCUGCCCGUGACCAGCCGGCCCACAGCGGCAUCCUCAGGGUGGGGGCCAAGAUCCUGACUUUCGAUCAGCUGGCCCUGGACUCCCUCAAGGACGGCGGCCCCGUCCUACUCUCCGGUCUUCGCAAGGGCCGACAGGUGUACCGGCAUUUCGGCAAGGCCCUGGGAACCCCACACAGCCACACCAAACGCUAUUUCCGCUCCAGGGACCAGAAGUUCGAGCGCGCCAGAGGCCUACGGGCCAGCCGAGGCUACAAAAAC
rnacentral:lncRNA from 1 species